GAGUGUGGUAGGGGCAGAGGGAAUUCCCGGUGUAGCGGUGAAAUGCGUAGAUAUCGGGAAGAACACCAGUGGCGAAGGCGCUCUGCUGGGCCAUCACUGACGCUCAUGGACGAAAGCCAGGGGAGCGAAAGGGAUUAGAUACCCCUGUAGUCCUGGCCGUAAACGAUGAACACUAGGUGUCGGGGGAAUCGACCCCCUCGGUGUCGUAGCCAACGCGUUAAGUGUUCCGCCUGGGGAGUACGCACGCAAGUGUGAAACUCAAAGGAAUUGACGGGGGCCCGCACAGGCGGUGGAGUAUGUGGUUUAAUUCGAUGCAACGCGAAGAACCUUACCAGGGUUUGACAUCCUGCGAAUCUCUUGGAAACGAGAGAGUGCCUUCGGGAGCGCAGUGACAGGUGGUGCAUGGCUGUCGUCAGCUCGUGUCGUGAGAUGUUGGGUUAAGUCCCGCAACGAGCGCAACCCACGUCUUUAGUUGCCAGCAUUUAGUUGGGCACUCUAGAGAGACCGCCGGUGAUAAACCGGAGGAAGGUGUGGAUGACGUCAAGUCAUCAUGCCCCUUACAUCCUGGGCUACACACGUACUACAAUGCUACGGACAAAGGGCAGCAAGUUCGCGAGGACAAGCAAAUCCCAUAAACCGUGGCUCAGUUCAGAUCGUAGGCUGCAACUCGCCUACGUGAAGGAGGAAUCGCUAGUAAUCGCAGGUCAGCAUACUGCGGUGAAUACGUUCCCGGGCCUUGUACACACCGCCCGUCACACCAUGGAAGUUGGCCACGCCCGAAGCCGUUACUCCAACCCUCGGGAGGAGGACGUCGAAGGUGGGGCUGAUGACUGGGGUGAAGUCGUAACAAGGUAGCCGUA
rnacentral:rRNA from 1 species